rnacentral:lncRNA from 1 species
UUUUAUUUUUAAAUGGAAGACUAUUCAACAGCGAUUCUUGGAAACUGCCGUGAUUUUUCCUCUGUUUGCAAAGAAAAUUCGGCAAAAACCUUCAAGGAAUGAAGUCAAUUUGUUCUCCUAUAAGUAAGUAAAAUAGGAGCCGAGAUUUUCAAACACCCUAAAUAAGAUACGUGGUUGUGGACCUUCAUUGUCGUACUGCUUGUCUUCCUUAAGCGAAAAAUGCAGACUUUCAAGUCUCUUGAAUUUUUUCACCGUUUUUAUCCCAAAAUGCCAAUUUAUAACUUCAAAUUUUCUUGUUAUCCUUUGCUCUCACUGAUUUUUUCAAACUUUCUAAAGACAAUUUUCUAAAUCUAAUCAAAGUAAUUGAUAAUAAGUAGACUCUAAGGUUUUAAAACGAGUCUUAAGUUUCAUGAUAUUGUCUUGUUAAAGUACACAAUUAUUAUUUAUUUAUUUAAUUUUUUUUUUCAACUUCACCAAACGUUUUUCUCUCAGUUUACUAUAAUACUUACAUUCUGUACCAGUGGCGUGGCGUGCUUUGCGAUAAAUCGAUUGAUCUGACAUUUGAACCUAUGAAAAAAAUCGAUUAACAGGGAGUUCGCAGCAAAUGCCUUGAAAAUCGAUUCUUUACCAUAGCUCCAAAUGGGGAAAUAUCGAUCAUGGAUCAUUCAUGCCCCGCCACUGUCUUGUACCAAAUUUUUUUGUAACAAAAUAGUGUGAAAAUUUGAAGGUAAAGUGGAGUGCUAAUUCCUCUAAUCAUUUCCACAGAAAAAAGACGGAAGCGAAGUAAAUAGUAAACCUAAGAAUCGGCCAACAUCAUCAGGUGGGCUACUGCCACCCCCGCCAGGUGAGUAAAAAUCAACCCUCCCUCUCAGAAUUCCUCUCCCUCUCAUCAUGCAAACCCAAGCAGUGCAGCUGGCUGGGGUGACUUUGCCAGCGCCUCCAAUCCAAGUUCAACAUCCAAUCAGUCCUCAAGCACAGCAACUACUCCCAGCAAUCCUAAUUGGGUACAAUUUUAAUCUUCUUUGAUCUUGAAUCAUCGACUCUAUCUCAUUACUAGGUAAUAGUUAAGUUGAUCAGCUCAGGCACACAGAUUUGUCUUGUUUAAUGUAGAGUUUAAUGGAAAUAUCAGAGGUAUUAAUGAUAAAAAAAGCAAUUCAAUAAUCUAACGCUAAUAGCACAUUUAAAAAUAUCAACUCUUGGGCAUUUUCCCUCCUUUUUUAAACAAUGCUAAGUCCUCACCAAGUAUUUCUUUCUUAUUUUUAUUUUUUCUUUUGAAUAUUCAUUAUAGGGUAUUCGUAGAUGAGUCCUCUUGAAAUAACUUUCGAAACUUGUAGAGAGUAGCCGAAAGUUGGUUUUCUCCUUCUUUUUACACACUUCAAACUCUUUCUUUUUAAUCUUAGGCAAGUCUAACAUUUAUUUACAGUUGUGCUUCUCGCUAGACUAUCUAUAUCAAUGAAAUACAUAUCUGCCUCAAUCAGAAUUUGUACUGGUUUGCGUCUCUACAUUGACCUGUCUGUGUGCUUUUGCUGAGAAUAAGGAUGAAAUAUGUAUAAUUUGCAGUCUCUAUAUAGUAAUAUUUACAUAAUUGUGUUUAUUUGGAAGUGUAACAGUAUAAUCAGCAAUUAUUCAAAGCGCAAGUGUACUUGUGAAACAGUCAUCUAGGAAACCCUGCCCAGCUCUGUAUAGCAUUUAAUCUCUGUGCUGCUCAUACAUCAUUUCUCAUUUUUGGUGAAUUUCCAAGUUCAUAUCAAAUCUCAGCUGCAGU